UACGUAGGGUGCGAGCGUUAUCCGGAAUUACUGGGCUUAAAGGGUGCGUAGGCGGUGGAGUAAGUCGGAUGUGAAAUACCUUAGCUUAACUAGGGAACUGCACUCGAUACUACUUUGCUAGAGUAAGACAGAGGUGAGUGGAACUGAGGGUGGAGCGGUGAAAUGCGUUGAUAUCCUCAGGAACACCGGUGGCGAAGGCGACUCACUGGGUCUUUACUGACGCUGAUGCACGAAAGCUAGGGUAGCAAACGGG
rnacentral:rRNA from 1 species